GAUGAACGCUGGCGGCGUGCCUAACACAUGCAAGUCGAACGGAAAGACGAGGAGGGGGGUCCUCGGAGGGUGGAGGGGGGCGGAAGAGGAAAGAGUGCAUAACCUACCUAUGGGACGAGGAUAAGAAAGGGGAGCAAGUGCCGGUAAGGGAUAAUAGAUGGAACGGGAGGGUUCAAAAGAGAAAGAGGGUUUGGAUGGCAGAGAGAGAUGGAACCGGGUCGGAUUAGCUAGGUGGUAAGGUAACGGCUUAGCAAGGCGACGAUGCGUGGCCGACCUGAGAGGGUGAUCCGCCACACUGGAACUGAGACACGGUCCAGACUCCUACGGGAGGCAGCAGUCGGGACUCUUGCCCAAUGGGCGAAAGCUUGACCGAGCCACGCCGCGUUGGUGAUGAAGGUCUUCGGGUCGUAAAACUCUUUUCUUGGGGAAGAACACUUGCAGCAGUAUCCAUGCUCGUCUUGACGGUACCUAAACAAAAAGCCCCGGCUAACUACGUG
rnacentral:rRNA from 1 species